UACGUAGGCAGCGAGCGUUGUUCGGAGUUACUGGGCGUAAAGAGUGCGUAGGCGGUUUUCUAAGUUUGGUGUGAAAUCUCCCGGCUUAACUGGGAGGGUGCGCCGAAGACUGGAAGGCUUGAGUAUGGGAGAGGUAAGCGGAAUUCCUGGUGUAGCGGUGAAAUGCGCAGAUAUCAGGAGGAACACCAAUUGCGAAGGCAGCUCGCUGGGACGUUACUGACGCUGAGACGCGAAAGCGUGGGGAGCAAACAGG
rnacentral:rRNA from 1 species